rnacentral:rRNA from 1 species
GACAGAGGCCUCAAGCGUUAGGCGGAAUCACUGGGCUUAAAGCGUGUGUAGGCGGAUCGUUAAGUGUCUUGUGAAAUCCCACGGCUCACCCGUGGAACUGCUGGGCAUACUGGCGAUCUUGGGCCAACUAGGGGCAACUGGAACAAGCGGUGGAGCGGUGAAAUGCGUAGAUAUCGCUUGGAACGCCGAAGGUGAAAACAGGUUGCUGGGGUUGUGCCGACGCUGAGACACGAAAGCCAGGGGAGGCAAACGGG